GGGACUGUGGGAAAGAACACUUGUUCCUACCCGAGGACGGCCACACGGAAGACAAGGGACUGGCCUUCUGGGCGAGCGUGCCAGCGGGGAGUCCGGGCUGCGGGGUGCGGGCGCGGCCUGCGCCCUGGGGGGAUUCCAUGGCUCUGGCCGGGGCCGCUUCCUGUCUUGACACGGCCUCGGCACUCCGCAGGUUGACCGGCUCAUCGCUCAUGGGGCUGACAUCCUGAGCCCUGUGACGCUCGUGCAGGGGGACAAGGUGGCAGUGGGCACGGCCGUGGACUACGGCUACUUCAGGUUCUUCCAGGACCGGAAGAUCGCCCAUUGCCCCUUCCACGCGCUCAUGCCAACUGAGCGGGAGACGCUCUUGGCCCGGAAGAGGCUCCUGGAGCACAUGGGCUGCCAGCUCCGCCGUGCCGUCUUCGCCAGGGAGAGCCAGUGGGAUCCCAAGGUGCUGUACAUGAGCAAAAGAGUGGAGCUGAGCCCCAGCCUCAAGCUGAAGAAGAGAAGCGCGGGCCCCGCCAAGUUCCUGGAGGAGCAGGGCAGGUGAGAGGGGCCCCGGGCUCUUGGCCGGCCAGCGGCCUGCGGGGGGCUGGCCCUGUACCCUCCCGCCCAAGGCAGUCCUCGGCCCCGCCCCGCACCGUGUGGUCCUGCACAGCAGCCUGCAGGGGGCCGUGGGGCCACCGGGACAAAAGUCCAGGGCUGGAGAGGCCGCUGGUCACCAGGGGACAAGGGUCCAGGGCUGGGGAGUCCUCUUUGGACACCAGCGGCCGUGGGCGUGGCCUGUGGCACGGCUGUGCCCACCGCCGGCAGCGAGGCUCGGG
rnacentral:lncRNA from 1 species